UAGUUUGAUUAGUGGCUACAGAACGAACGCUGGCGGCGCGUUUUAAGCAUGCAAGUCGAGCGGCAAGGGCCUUCGGGCCCCUAGAGCGGCGGACGGGUGAGUAACACGUGGACAAUCUGCCCCCCGGCCCGGGAUAGCCCAGGGAAACCUGGAUUAAUACCGGAUGAGACGGGACCCGCGAUGGCGGGAUCCGGGAAAGGCGCUGCGGCGCCGCCGGGGGAUGAGUCUGCGUCCCAUUAGCUAGACGGCGGGGUAACGGCCCACCGUGGCGACGAUGGGUAGCCGGCCUGAGAGGGUGGACGGCCACAUUGGAACUGAGACACGGUCCAGACUCCUACGGGAGGCAGCAGCUAAGAAUCUUCCGCAAUGGGCGAAAGUUCCUGACGGAGCGACGCCCGCGUGAACGAAGAAGGCCGUGAGGUUGUAAAGUUCUUUUCGGGAGGGGGAACAACCGUGGCAGGGAAUGGCCGCGGGAUGACGUGAAUCCCGGAAUAAGCCCCGGCUAACUACGUGCCAGCAGCGGC
rnacentral:rRNA from 1 species